rnacentral:rRNA from 1 species
AUGUGAUCGUCUCUCGCAUAUCAAUAAGCGGAGGAAAAGAAACUAACAAGGAUUCCCCUAGUAACGGCGAGUGAAGCGGGAAGAGCUCAAAUUUGAAAUCUUAAAGGGUUUCCCUUUACGAAUUGUAGUUUAAAGAAGUGUUUUCUGUUGAGGUUUUGGUAAAAGUUCUUUGGAAUAGGACAUCAUAGAGGGUGGAGAAUCCCGUAUUUGACCUUUACUUUCAACUUUGUGAUACACUUUCAAAGAGUCGGAUUGUUUGGGAAUGCAGUCCAAAAUGGGUGGUAAAUUUCAUCUAAAGCUAAAUAUUGGCGAGAGACCGAUAGCGAACAAGUACCGUGAGGGAAAGAUGAAAAGAACUUUGAAAAGAGAGUUAAACAGUACGUGAAAUUGUCAAAAGGGAAGCGUUUGACACCAGUGUUGUUUUUCUGAAAAUCAAUUAAAGAACUGUUUAUGCUAAGUUGUUUAGACUUUAUCAGCUAUCUGUUUAGUUUUGAGCUUUUCUUUAAUGCACUUUUCAGUUAACAAGUCAACAUCCAAUUUCUUUUGCUGUAAAAAAGCUUGAGGAAGGUGGCUUGAGAUUCGUCUUAAGUGUUUAUAGCCUCUUGCCUAUGCAGUCGGAGAGAUUGAGGUCUGCAGCGUAGAUCCUUCGGGGCUAAAUGCAUUUGUGCUAAGUUAUAACAUUUUAUAGACAACUUGUUGACUAUGAUUUGUCUUGUAGCUUACUCGCUUAUGUUAUUUUACCUACGCUUAGGAUGUUGAAGUCAUCGUAUCGCGC